rfam:Plasmopara halstedii genome assembly, contig: Scaffold_2906
GUGCUGGCUCGAAUGGUAGAGCAGCCGCUUUCCAAGCGGCAGGUCGUGGGUUUGGUCCCCGCGACAUACA